rnacentral:lncRNA from 1 species
AUUUAUUCUUAAAUAUUUUCUGUCUCUAAAGGAAGCAACUCUGUUGAGUAAAUCUUUGUCUAAAAACUUAAAUCAACAGAUAUGGAGUCUCACUUUGUUACUCUAAAAUCAGCCACAGUAGGAAAGGAAAGGAAAGUUCAAAUGCACAACUUUGCAUCGCUGCCAAAAUACACGAGCUCUGUCUCGGUGAAUUGAGUCAGUUGAAUCCCACUGUGAUGAUGGAGUUCAGGCUGCAAGAAGAGUUCAUGUUGGGCUGAGUCUGCAGUACCACCCUAGAAUGCAAUGUGCAGUAUCUGUUCUGUAUUCCCUCGGGCUGGGAAUUUAUAGCAAACAGUGCUUUUGGGAACAGUGUUAGCAACUGAAAUACUGCAGGAAAAAGUGCCCUCCCAGUAACUCUUAGCUACUGCCAUGGUGCACACAGAUAAUAAAAAUAGAAUCGUGCUUGUUCAUCUGAAGUACUUUCUGAAUUCAAGUGAUUGUAAAUAACUGUAAGUUAAACCUGAUGGUCAACUAAAAAAUCAGAAAACAAACAGUAACAAACAGACAUUUACAUCAGAAUUUCAAGCGAAAGAACUCAGUAAGGUAAUUGAGGCAAGCGGAAUAUCAUAACAAUAUGUCAAAACCUUCUUAUCUUAGAGUGGAAGCAAGUAUUUUUUUCUUCUUUAAAAGCUAGUGUCCAUAAAAUAAUAUAUAACAUUAAUUUAAGCACAUUGAUAAAACUAGAAAAAGUGUUCUAAUUGCUGCAAAUUAUUUUUGACUAAACUACUGGCUUAUACUUUGUUUCAAUUUGUUUAUUUUCCUAAGGCCUUUAUUUUUUUUUCAACACAGUAUGAACUGUUAAACAAAGACCUGAAAAUCAUAUGGCUUGGCUCUAUUCUGAGCAAAAACAUUGCUGGGUUCUGAUUUAUGCCCUAUUUAAUAUUUGCAGCUUUAUCAAUGCUACUGCUGUGCACUCUGCUGUGACUUUGCCUGACUACACCUUAACCUCUCUGUCAUGUAAAAUGAGGCACAAAUCAGACCUCUGCUAUCUUACUCUCUGCUUACAAGAAUAAGAUAGCACUUUCUUUUCAUUGAGUGAAAAGUGAAUCGUACUACUGGUAGAACUCCAGGCCUGUACAUCAGUGAAUCUAGGCUUCCAUGCUGACCUUUUCCAGCUCUGCUUUUUCAAAAUCUGCUAACUCAAUAUCAAUAUAUUAUAAUGGUAGAAUUGAGGUCUGAAACAGUAUCUUUUCUUACAAGUAAUUGGAAACAAAAAGUGUAAAAUUAGUCAAAUAUUAUUUUCACCACUUGUUUUACAACUGAAUAUCUGUUCUCUUGGCUAUGGCAGGUGAUCCAAUAUCAGAUACUACUUCUCCUUACAGACCUUUCCACUUUUAUAUCCCCAUUUUUUCUAUGACCAUAAUCAUGUUAUUAUAUACAGCUGUCACAGAAGUGCAAAAGAAUGUCCCCUGAGCCCUGAAUGUACACACAAGCAAAAACCACCAAACCAACCCAAACUCAAACCUACAUCACAAAACCUCCAGUAGCUUUUACUGGAAGCAAGUAUGUUUCAAAUUCAUUGUCUAAACAAGAUCGAACAUAUUUGUAGGGUUGUAAUAUGUUCUUGAGAAACAAACAAAUUACUAAAAUAUUGAGGACAUU